UGAAGUAUUUCCAUUAGAGAUUAGGUUAUUGAUUGGUAUUUUUAAACCUAUUUUAUGGCUUUAUCACAGUAUAUAGAGAGCAAGGAAGAAAUCUAUCAAAAUUUACUAAGCCAGGCAUUGCCACUGUUCUGUCCUAGAUACUAGUAGGUACAGUAUCUUUCAUUGAAAGAUUCUAGGAAAAUAGGGAAAGACUUUUCUCUUGUGUUCCUACCAUUCCUGAGGGUUCCAUAUUUACCAUUUAACCUUGUGAUUUUGGUAGGACAAAACUUACAAACUGUAGAAUUUUCAUUGGCACUGUUAAUGUUUUCAAAUGGCAAGGGACGUGGGAGCCACCAUGUAGCAAUGCAGUGAGUGUUAAAUUUUAUGUUUAUCUAAAUCUUGAUUUGUUGUUUGGCUCAUAUCUUUCUGGGCUUGGCAUGGCUGAUGUAACUAAAACCAUCUUGCCACUAAAACCCAUUUUAUCUUUUCUCUAAUGGGGACAGAAAAUAGUUAAGUCUCUUCUACCUAGUAAUAUUUCACAUACGUUAUGUAUUAUCUUCUUUUCAUUUAAACAGUCCUAAUUUAUAAAAUAAUAGUAUGCAAAUUUUAUUUUUUUAACAUUUAGAUAUAAUCCCACAAUUCUCCAUAACUUUAAAAAUAUUUUGUGGGUCAGUGAUUCUCAAGAUAAAUCAUGGUUGUGGUAGUUGUUACUAUUGGCAAUUUGUACGAUUCUUCUGGUGUUUUGGGGCUAGGAAAAAAAUUGCCCCAAAUCACUGUGUUUUAUCUGGUGGUCAGGGUGAUUCCUACAAUGUUAUAGUCACCUCCAUGAAAACUGAGCACACUGGGCAUACACAUUUCUCAAACUCAUUUUUUUCUAGUAUGAAAGUAAUAUAUGUUGAACAAUUGAGAAAUAUGGAAAAUGAUAAAUGAGAAAAAUAAUUUUUCAUUUAGUAAUAGCACUGCCAAUAUUUUAUUGGAUUUUUCCCAUUUUUUUUCUAUGCAUACAUAGUUUAUGGAGUGAAGGGAUAUAGCAAUGUUUAACUUUUUGAAUUCAUAAAAUUAAUACACUUCAGUCUAAAUUAUAGGAAAUAUUGGUAAGCAAAAGAAGGUAAAACUGCUCAUAAUUUUAUACCCAUAAGUAACUACUAUUAAUAUUUGGUUUAUGUCUUUCUAUUUAUUUUCUCAGAAGACAACUUUUUCCCUAAAAUCAAAAAAUAAGAUUUCCCUCUAUAUUGUCAUAGAUCCUUUUAGGGUUGCUUAUCGAGCUCUCACAUGCCCAUUUCUUUGGGGCCCCUGAACACUACAUUGGUACUGGAUGUCAUCUAGCCAUGGUGGACCCAUGCUUGGCUCAUUACAUUUUUUUCCUGGGUAGAUGUGUCCAGAACUAUACUGUUUUAGUGGCAAGAUGGUUUUAGCUGUACCAUAUUCUUCCAUGAGGAAGGAGUCAUCAUCAAGCUGAAGAAUGAAGCAGACAUCAAGGACAAGUGGGAUGGAAGGACAUAGGAAAAAACCUUGAUAGCUUUGCAUUUCCUGUAUGGGGCCUGACUGCUCACCCAUAUUUCGUCCCAUUAAUCCCAGUAAUAUUUUUAUUCUGUUUUCUCCCUGAGCUACUUUGAGUUGGUUUCCUGUUACUUUGAACUGGAGAAUUUUAACAAACACAAAGGGACAGUGGAUCCUAGGGGAAAAAAUCAACCAAGAAAAAAUUACAGCAUAUAUUUCUGAUAUCUCCAGACCAAAGCCUACCUCCAUAACAUGUGAGAAAACUGAGGCUUAGAGAAGUGAGAUCAAUUGGGCAACACGUCACAGCCACGUUAAGGUGAGAUCAGGACUGAUCCAGGACCAUAUGAGGCUUGAAUUUUUAAU